rnacentral:misc_RNA from 1 species
UUUUUUUACCUGUGCGUCGCAUUCAGACACCUGGAUGUAUUCCGUCCUGGACGCACAGGAGAGAAAUUUAUCCGGAGUUUGUGUUGGCGGCCGGUGUUCCCCGCUCCCGAGGCCCCGAGUUUAUGAGAGGCGAGGCGCGGCGCUCCCAGGUUUUGUAGUGUUUGUGUUAGCAAGAUGGGGGAAGACCUCCUCUCACUCAAGUGGAACAACCACAAACCAGCAUUUUUCCACCUACUGCGGAUACUACGAGAGAAGGGUUGCUACACAGAUGUAACGCUAGCAUGUGGUACAAAGUUCUUUGCGGUUCAUCGUCUGGUGCUGAUGGCGUGUAGCGACUUCUUUACCGAGGUGUUCGAGCACACGCUGUGUCAAAAACCUGUGAUUGUGCUGAAAGACAUUAAAAGCCACGAACUAGAAGCUUUGUUAGAUUAUAUGUACCUCGGGGAGGUGGAUGUGCAACAGACUGAUCUCCCCGGGUUAAUUAAGGCCGCCGAGUGCCUCAGAAUUAAGGGCUUGGCUGUUCCUGACGAGGACCCAUCCCAACCCCUGAGACCGGAGCUUCCAGUUGGUGGCGAGAGACCGGCAAAACGUCGCAGACAAGACCGGGAAGUGAGAGAUGGCGAUCGAGGAAGUACCAGAUCGCACAGUGGGGACAGAGGGAGUCACGGAGCGCCGCCAACCGAAGACGUGGCGCCGUACUCGCAUCACAGGACAGAUGUCAUGCAGGGUGAUGACAAUGUGGAGGAGAACUCCACUAAGUGUGUGGUGCCUCAACCAAAUGAUGAAACCUCUCACCUUGCCAUUCAUGAAGCAUCGGUUGUCCAACGUACAGACAGUCUCCAUAUGCAGCAGGACUCAGAUGUGUCGCCCGAACGAAUACACGACGGCAGAGUUCUACUUGAUUCUCGGAUACAACAUGAAAUGCGGAUUCACGACUCGCGCUCUCAAUCCGAACCACGAAUCCACCACGAAUCGCAUGCGGCGCAGGACAUUGAAGUGUAUUCGGAAAACACGCCUGAAAUCAAAACCGAACAUUGUGAAAUUAGUGACGAAAUAGAAAACGGCGGACUAAAAAGUGAAAUAGCGGAGAUCCGAGGCGAUCAGUUAAACGAGACGUCGGGGGGUGGCGGGGACUUCUCUCACUUUCUAUCAGUGGAGGAGAAUCUGGCGCACCACAUGUUUCAACAAGCCCAGCAGGCUGGACCCUCGGGAGUACACAGAUCUGCAGGGCGUGACAGCAGCUCGGAAGUCAGUGGGGAAGAUGGUGGCGGUAAUCGGGGUGGCAUCGGUGGGAGCAUGUACCCGUCUCACCUGCUGGGUGAGGUUGCGCCCGAGGGAGCGUCGACACUCUCCAACCAGUCGGGUCUGGUGAUGACAGAGGGUCCGGUGAUACGGGACGAGCAGGGGCGCUUGUGCUACCGGUGCGUCUACUGUCCGCGCAUUGACUCCGACAAGAGCAAGUGGCGGCGACACCUGCGGACUCACACGGGGGAAAAGCCCUAUCAGUGCACCAAGUGCCCUUACCGAGCCACUACGAAACAUGCCGUCGUGCGACACGACAAGUUCAGACAUUCUGUGGAUGUUGUUGCACUGUAGAAAACGCACUUCAACGAACGCCUCUUUAGGGAUGAAGUUAUUUAUUAUAUUUUUUUGUGUGACUUGGAAAACGUCGGCUCUGGUUAGAAUUUUAAGUUAUUAAGUUGAUAGGGUGGCGUACCAGAUCAAAGUGGCCUCUACCGCUGUCCGUAUUGCCCCCGAGUGGAUCAGUACGAGAGCAAGUGGCUGCGGCACCUGCGUAUUCAUACAGGAGAGAAGCCGUACUUUUGCUCGCUCUGCGAC